UGUGCGGCCGCGCGCGGAGGGGCCCGGCCGUGACUGUGCCCGUGUCCGUGCCCACGUCCCGCCUCCGCCCGGGAACAGGGUCCGGGUGCCGGCCCUGCGGCCGGGCUGCCCCAUCCCUGUCCCCGAGGGCGGUGCUUCCUCCUCCCGAGAGGCUGUGGGUAACGGGAGAGAGGCUGUUUUUCUCGGCGGAAGGAGACGGAGGGGCUCUAUAACAACCGUGAGGGGAUUUACAGCAUCCCUACCCCAGAAGAACAAAACUACUUGGAGGGAAAGGAUAUCUGUCAAAAAUAGUGUGACCAAGGAGCCCAUGGCACCUGUGCAGAUUCUUUUAACUGGAUGUUGCAAAAAAUAAUUGAAGAACAGAAUAUAUUUUUGUAAUUGAAAGAUCUGGCUGAAGACUUGAGAUUAUUCCAACCAUGCACAGUGUGAACAGCUCAGAGACUCCCUGGCUAAAAAUAAUGACACAUCUGAGACCUGUGAAAGAACCUGAUCAGCCACGGCCUUGGCAGAGGUUCUCCUCAGCACCAGCAAAGAGUGCCACAGCAAAUACUUUUGACUGCAGAAGAAAAUUAUUGCCAAAGAUUGGCUAACACAGAAGGGCUUCUGUUGUGCAAAGAUAUGAGUGGAGGAAUGAAAUGGAAGUUAUGAAGGGAGGAAUGAAAAAUAAUUAUUCACAAAGUUCUGCAAAAUCUGAGAUGUGUUUGUCAUGGAGAAGAACAAAGAACUCUGUAAAAAGCAACCAACUCAAUGGGUUUUAUCAAACUCUUGCAUCCUUUUGAGACAGCUUUAUCGAGUUAUUUGCAGUUUGGUAUGUGGAAAAGUUUCCCAUAAAACCUGAAACAAGCUUGUGACUAGUCACGGACUCAUGGAACAGCCUCAGCUGGAAGGGACCUUGAAAGAUCAUCUGGUUCAACCUUUUUUCGGGAAAGAGACACCGGAUGAGGUUGUCUAGCACCCUGUCCAAUCACAUCUUGAAAACCAUCAGUGAUAGGGACUCCACCACAUCCCUGGGGAGGUUGUUCCAGUCAGUGAUUGAUCUCACUCUAAAAAAUUUCUUUCUUAUAUUGAGAUGAAACUUCAGCCAAUGCAACUUGUACCUUUUACCCCUUGUCUCCUCCCUGUGGCUUCUGGUGCAGAGAGAACCUCCAUCCUCUUUGUAGCUGCUCUGUAAGUACUGUGAUGAGGCUCUCCCUGAGCCUGCUCUUUUCCAGGUAGAAUAGACUGAAUUCCUUCAGUCAAAGGAGAGCUAAUUCCUUUGGUUCUUAAGGAGUCUUCAGACAGGGAUCAUCCUGAAGGAAGACUUUUCACCUACUCACCAGUGUGUGUUGUGAGUACUUUCUUCUGGUGGUUCUCAGCUGGAGUGAUGGCUCUGUCUCCCUGCUGCUGUUACGGUGCUGGUUUUAGAAAGGAUCUGUGAUUAUGUGAAAUAGAUUUGUCAGGUGUAAUACAACAUACCAGUUGCUUCAAAUAGUAGGAUGAAAGGGUCUUAAAACGUGCCAGCAAUUUAGAUUUUCUCUUCUCAUUUGUUUUUGGUGGUUUUUUUAAUACUACUUGUCCUUUCCUUGCCUGGUCUGAUGUAUGAUGUCCUGCUUAUCUCAGGAUAAUAAACCUGUUGGAGUGUGGAGCUGGUCAGCAAGGUCAAGACAGACGUGACUGGAAACUACACUAUUUAUUGGAAGUAAGAAUCAAUAUUAAGCACAGGGAGUAGCAGGCUAAUUUUCCAUUCUGUGCAUCAAAUGCAUUCCUUGAGUCUGUGCUGCCGCUGGCAUGGUGGGCUUGUGCAAAAAUGCUGUGGCUGUAGCUCAGUUUUUAAACAACAGAAGAAAGUCACAGCAGGGAUGACUUUGAAUUCGUCUGUGGAAACCACAGGAGGAGGCAGCAGGUCAGACAGGUGAAAUGUGAACGUUUCAGCCCUGCCUCUGGCUUAGGCCUGAGUAAAACCAGCUCAGUUGAGGUUUGGGAUAACCCUCUGUCAUUUGGGGUCAGCCGUGUCCCUUCCCAGCUCCUUGUGACCCCCCCAGCUUGCUCACUGGUGGGGUGGGGAGAGAAGCUGAGAAAACCUUGGCUUAGUGUAAACACUACUUAGCAACAAUUAAAACAUCAACAUUACUCUCAUGCUAAAUUCAAAACACAGCACUGUACCAGCUACUAGAAAGAAAAUUAACUCUAUCCCAGCCAAAACUUGGACAACUUGUUGCUUGUAGAAGCUGCUGAUGGACUCGUGAAGACAAGGUCUCUCUGGUUAACCCAGAGAGUUGGUGCAGCCUGAUCACAGGGGAGGUACCCCCCUCAUCUUCCCUGCAGGAAUUCCAUCCCCAAGUAACACCUGACCAAAGCCGAGACAUCAUUGCUUCUGUUCAGUGCAUCUUGGACAGAGAAAAUUGUUUUGUGAGGGAGGUGGACAGAUACCUGAGGCACAAUGAUUUCCUAAGUCUGAGAAAGAAGGAGAUUGUGUACAAAGAAUGGCUUAAGGAUGUUUUAGAGCCAGUGCUGCAGAAAAUUGAGGACGAAAUGGGCAGCCAGUCAAUCGAAGAAAUGCAGAAAAGGAAACAAGAACAAUUGUCUCAAUAUUUAAACUACUGUAACAAGAAGGGCUACGUGUUUUUGGACUAUUUUGACCCAUCAGAGUAUGAUCCAUUCUCCCAGAAGACGUGCACAGACUGCUGGAAGAAUGAAAGUCAUCAAUCACCACAAUGACAGCGAGAGCCAAUGAUGUCACCUGUCCCCCAGCUGACCAGAGCAGCAAGCACAGCCAUCAGAAGGUACCCUUUAGGUUACAUCUCCUGCCAAAGCAAGUGGUAACAGGCCAGGUCUUCUGGCAAGCUGCAAUAAACUUACUGUCUUGAA